AAUGUGACAUUUAUUUUGAGAUUUUUUUUUACUAGACUUGACACUUAUUUUGGCAUGGGUUGAGAAAAAUAUAAGCAACAAUUCAGAUAUACACACCGAAGAUAAUCGUUGAAAAUGUUAGAUCAAAUCGAAAGUGUCGGAGGAAAAUAAGAAUAACUUAUUAAUAUAAAUAUUAUGAAAUAAAAAAAAUGAAUAGAAUUAAAAAAAUAUAGCAUAAAGCAUGAUGAUAGAAAAAAGAGUGAAUAGAAGAAAAA
rnacentral:lncRNA from 1 species